rnacentral:lncRNA from 1 species
GAGAAGUUUGAAUAGCCUCUGUAGGUUUUAGAUGCAGCCCAGCAGAUGGUUGAGCAGAAUCCAGAUGGGAUAUUGAAAGUACUUUGCUUAUCAGUUUCUCUGUUAUCAUACCUUUGUUUGCAAUUUGUGGCUUUUCUUCCACAGCCAAGCCAGGGGAUGUGUAAGGUUAGGCUCACUUUUUACUCUGCCAUAUAUUUCUGGCCACAUUGAUGAUCAGGUAACUUAGAUACAGGUAAUGUUUGGUUGCACUGCAUAAUUCCAAACCUUCAAAUCUGAGUACCGAAAUGUACUUCUGAGGAGAAAGAUUCUUAACUUUCGAUUCAUUAUUAUGUGGUAUUUAUUUGUUUAAAUUAUAAAUUACACUUCUAUUCCCAUCUGGGGGGAGGAGUGUCACAAAAAUCCCAUAAUAUGGACACAGGAUGGUAUUAUCUGUACUUGACAAAUGAAGAGAUAGAGUCCAAGAGGUUUCAGUUAGUUUUUCAUGAUCACUUCUCUAAGUGCAGGAUGGGGAAAAAGUUCAGAUGUUUGAAAUUCUUUCCCUAAGCCAUUCUACUCACUCUCAAGGUAUUAUAAUCCUGGAGCAAGAGUAACUGAGUUUUUAGAAUAAUGAAGAAGUGUUUUGUUGUUGCUCUCUUUAAAUAGGUGAUAAAAUGUACCGAUUUUUUUCCUCUGGUUUUUUUAGUGUUUUUUUCUUUAACAAGGUCCAAUUGGCAAUUAGGAAAGUGACCUUGUCGCUAUAGGAACUUCAUUGCAAGGGACUUCAAAUACAGAUGGUAUGCCGUGAAAAUGAGUGCUUACUUUUAUUUUAUUUAAAAAAAACUCUGUGAUGAACAGUUUCCAGUGAUAGGUGAGUGACUAUGGAUUGUUAAAUUAAAUGCCAGUAGAGCUUGAGGAAGAAAACACAAACAUUAAGAAAAAAAAAAGUCGUUGGGGAUAAAUUAUUGCUGUAACUUUGGAUAUAUUCCAUAAGCUUUACUUACCGACUUUAUUUUUUUGUUUUUAUUUAUUUAUUUAUUUUUGCUGGCAGCUGCAGCUCUGAUUAGACCCCUAGCCUGAGAGCUUCCAUAUGCCAUAGGUGUGGCCCUAAAAAAUGAAACAAAAACAAAAAUUAUGGUAGAAGUAUAGGGUUAUAAACUGUAAACCAGAGAAGUAUAAAAAAGAAGUCUUGAUAUAUGAAAAAAUAGUAUAUAAGAAGAGCAGAUAAUUCAAAAACUGGGGUUGGAAUAACUGGCUAUACAUAAAGACAAAAAUACAAUUACUGUAUUGCUUCAUACUCACUUAAAAGUAAAUCCCAGGUCCAUUAAAUACUAAUUUUAAAAAAUGAAAAUCAUAUGAGAUUCCUUUUAUGAAUGAAGGGAAAUAAAUGUGUUCUUAAAUCAAAUGCGAAAAGCAUAUUGGAGAAAAAAGACUAAAAAUUCUAAGUUAAAAUUAAACUUAUUCAAGCAAAAAAAAUACACAAAAGAAUGAAAACAAGUCACAGAUUGGGCAUUUAUCUGGAUACACAACUAACCACAGAUUGGUAUUCAGAAUAUAUAGAAAAUUAUUAUAUAUAGAAUGUAUAGGAAAAGAUAACCCAAUAGAAAAAUGGAGAAAAUGUAGGAAUAGUUAGUUCACAUAUGAGAUAGUCCACGUGGCUGCAAAAAUGUGAAGCAACCAGAGCCUUCAAGAAUGUUGGUGGGUGAGUAAUUUAUUUAACUAAUUGGACAAUAAUUUCACAAUAUAUAGUACAGUAGUCUGACUCCUACAUGUUGAUAGUAGAAUGCACCAUUGUUUAUGAUAAUGGAAAACUGAAAACACUUUAAAUGAUACUCAAUAAGAAAACAUAAAUAAAUUGCAAUAUAUUAAAAUACUGUGAAAUGUCAAAAACCAAUAGGCUUUUGCUCUGAUAUCACCAGGGAUAAAGGUGCCUCCUAAAUACAUUUAAUGAAAGCAAAUAAAAUAAGAGGAAUUUCCUGAGGCAUACAUACAGUAUUCUAUCAUUUCUUUAUUGUUAAAACACAUGUAUGUAAGAUGUACUAUUGAUGUAUACAUGUGUUUGUAGUACCUUUUAAAAAAUGCCUGGGGGAGUUCCCAUUGUGGCUCAGUGGAAAUGAAUCUGACUAGAAACCAUAAGGUUGUGGGCUCGAUCCUUGGCCUUGCUCAGUGGGUUAAGGAUCCAGCAUUGUCGUGAGCUGUGGUAUAGGUCACAGGUGCAGCUGGGAUCUGACAUUGCUGUGGCUAUGGUGUAAGCUGGUAGCUGUAGCUCCGAUUUGACCCUUAGUCUGGGAACCUCCCUAUGCUGUGGGUAU